rnacentral:rRNA from 1 species
AUUGAACGCUGGCGGCAGGCCUAACACAUGCAAGUCGAGCGGAUGAAGGGAGCUUGCUCCUGGAUUCAGCGGCGGACGGGUGAGUAAUGCCUAGGAAUCUGCCUGGUAGUGGGGGAUAACGUCCGGAAACGGGCGCUAAUACCGCAUACGCCCUGAGGGAGAAAGUGGGGGAUCUUCGGACCUCACGCUAUUAGAUUAGCCUAGGUCGGAUUAGCUAGUUGGUGGGGUAAAGGCCUACCAAGGCGACGAUCCGUAACUGGUCUGAGAGGAUGAUCAGUCACACUGGAACUGAGACACGGUCCAGACUCCUACGGGAGGCAGCAGUGGGGAAUAUUGGACAAUGGGCGAAAGCCUGAUCCAGCCAUGCCGCGUGUGUGAAGAAGGUCUUCGGAUUGUAAAGCACUUUAAGUUGGGAGGAAGGGCAGUAAGUUAAUACCUUGCUGUUUUGACGUUACCAACAGAAUAAGCACCGGCUAACUUCGUG